UGUGAGUCCACAGAAAUUUGGUGAUGUGGUAGAAUUAGCAGCCUGGAUUUCUCCUUUACAGCAGCCUUCUUCUUCUAGCCCACUUCCUUUCCCUGUUCACAGUGCAUGAGGAUAGCUUGUAAUAAGAUUUCCUACUUCUGAAAGAUUGAUAGAAUAUACUUGUAGUGGAUCAGGAAUCUUCCAGAAGGAGAAGUGACCUAUAUGUUAUUUUGCCGAGAAACAUAAAACUAAACAAAAAACUGUAAUCUACUGUGGAUCUGGGAAUACUGUCUCCAAGGUAUCUUUGGAAACCAGUUAUUUGGGGGUGGGGCUUGCUUAAGAGUCUACUGGAGUCUACUCGCGGUUAGAGGGUCUAGGAUGAAGAAGGAAGGAGGAAGGAGAGAGAAAGGAAAUAAUUCAGGGUGAGGGAAUUCUCUGGCAAUGUGCAGAGCCCUGGGGAGAUAGGUGUGCUGUUGACGAAGUUUGUGAAAUGGUAAGAUGUGAGCUCUCUCUGCACAUCAGUGAGUUCUGACUGGUAUUGGGUACACAAUAAGACAAUCCAUGACCUUAGACAUUUAGCUGCAAGCCCUGGAUUUUUGGCAGCCAGCUUUAGUUUCAGACAAGCCAAGAUUUUUUAGGUGAUCUCUGUUAAACCCAGAGAGAAAAGCAGCAGCAGUUCUGUAAUUGUUGAUGGGGAGGCUUUGUGCUUCUGCCUUUCUCCUUCCAUUUGUAUCUCCCUAAACUAGUAAGCCUGGAUGGGCACGAUGGCUUAUGCCUGUAAUCCCAGCACUUUGGGAGGCUGAGGCAGGCGGAUCACGAGGCCAGGAGAUCAAGACCAUCCUAACAUGGUGAAACCCUGUCUCUAUUAAAAAUACAAAAAGUAGCUGGGUGUGGUGGCACAUACCUGUAGUCCCAGCUACUUGGGAGGCUGAGGCAGGAGAAUAACUUGAAUCCUAGAGGCGGAGGCUGUAGCAAGCAGGAAUUGCGCCACUGCACUCCAGCCUGGUGACAGAGUGUGACUCCGUCUCAAAAAAAAAAAAAAAAAAA